rnacentral:rRNA from 1 species
CCUACGGGCGGCAGCAGUGAGGAAUAUUGGUCAAUGGCCGGAAGGCUGAACCAGCCAAGCCGCGUGAAGGACGACGGUGCCAAGCAUUGUAAACUUCUUUUGUCAAGGGACAAAAUCAGGCUCGAGAGCCUGACCGAGGGUACUUGAAGAAAAAGCAUCGGCUAACUCCGGGCCAGCAGCCGCGGUAAUACGGAGGAUGCGAGCGUUAUCCGGAUUUAUUGGGUUUAAAGGGUGCGUAGGCGGACUGUUAAGUCAGCGGUAAAAGCCCGGGGCUUAACCCCGGCGAGCCGUUGAAACUGGCGGUCUUGAGAGGGCGAGAGGUAUGCGGAAUGCGCAGUGUAGCGGUGAAAUGCUUAGAUAUUGCGCAGAACUCCGAUUGCGAAGGCAGCAUACCGGCGGCGAUCUGACGCUGAGGCACGAAAGCGUGGGUAUCGAACAGGAUUAGAUACCCCAGUAGUC